rnacentral:rRNA from 1 species
GCCAGACUCCUACGGGAGGCAGCAGUGGGGAAUAUUGCACAAUGGGGGAAACCCUGAUGCAGCGACGCCGCGUGAGUGAAGAAGUAUUUCGGUAUGUAAAGCUCUAUCAGCAGGGAAGAAAUAGCGACCUUUGGGUCGCCAGACGGUACCUGAUUGAGAAGCCCCGGCUAACUACGUGCCAGCAGCCGCGGUAAUACGGAGGGGGCAAGCGUUAUCCGGAUUUAUUGGGUUUAAAGGGUGCGUAGGCGGACUGUUAAGUCAGCGGUAAAAGCCCGGGGCUCAACCCCGUACUGCCGUUGAAACUGCAUCCCUUGAGUGCGCGAGAAGUAUGCGGAAUGCGUGGUGUAGCGGUGAAAUGCAUAGAUAUCACGCAGAACUCCGAUUGCGAAGGCAGCAUACCGGCGCGCAACUGACGCUCAUGCACGAAAGCGUGGGUAUCGAACAGGAUUAGAUACCCCAGUAGU